UACGGGGGGGUGCGAGCGUUGUCCGGAAUCACUGGGCGUAAAGGGCGCGUAGGUGGUUUGAUAAGGGUGUGGUGAAAGUCCGGGGCUCAACUCCGGAUCUGCCGUGCCGACUGUCAAACUCGAGGGCUGUAGAGGCAGGCGGAAUUCCGGGUGUAGCGGUGGAAUGCGUAGAGAUCCGGAGAACACCCGUGGCGAAGGCGGCGUCUCUGGGACGGUACUGACGGCUGAGACGCGAAAGCAUGGGGAGCGAAC
rnacentral:rRNA from 1 species